rnacentral:rRNA from 1 species
ACGGAAGGCAGCAGUGAGGAAUAUUGGUCAAUGGACGCAAGUCUGAGCCAGCCAUGCCGCGUGCAGGAAUAAGGCCCUAUGGGUCGUAAACUGCUUUUGUGGUGGAGCAAUAAGUCGUACGUGUACGGCGAUGAGAGUACAUCACGAAUAAGCAUCGGCUAACUCCGUGCCAGCAGCCGCGGUAAUACGGAGGAUGCAAGCGUUAUCCGGAUUUAUUGGGUUUAAAGGGUGCGUAGGCUGUGGUCCAAGUCAGGGGUGAAAGCCCGGAGCUCAACUCCGGAACUGCCUUUGAUACUGGAUUGCUGGAAUACGGAUGCCGUGGGAGGAAUGAGUAGUGUAGCGGUGAAAUGCAUAGAUAUUACUCAGAACACCGAUUGCGAAGGCAUCUCACGAAUCCGUCAUUGACGCUGAGGCACGAAAGCGUGGGGAUCAAACAGGAUUAGAUACCCUGGUA